rnacentral:rRNA from 1 species
UCUUCGGACCUCGUGCUAUAGGGGCGGCCGAUGGCAGAUUAGCUAGUUGGUGGGGUAAAGGCCCACCAAGGCGACGAUCUGUAGCUGGUCUGAGAGGACGACCAGCCACACUGGGACUGAGACACGGCCCAGACUCCUACGGGAGGCAGCAGUGGGGAAUUUUGGACAAUGGGGGCAACCCUGAUCCAGCAAUGCCGCGUGUGUGAAGAAGGCCUUCGGGUUGUAAAGCACUUUUGUCCGGAAAGAAAUCCUAGAGGCUAAUAUCCUGUGGGGAUGACGGUACCGGAAGAAUAAGCACCGGCUAACUACGUGCCAGCAGCCGCGGUAAUACGUAGGGUGCGAGCGUUAAUCGGAAUUACUGGGCGUAAAGCGUGCGCAGGCGGUUCGCUAAGACCGAUGUGAAAUCCCCGGGCUUAACCUGGGAACUGCAUUGGUGACUGGCGGGCUAGAGUAUGGCAGAGGGGGGUAGAAUUCCACGUGUAGCAGUGAAAUGCGUAGAGAUGUGGAGGAAUACCGAUGGCGAAGGCAGCCCCCUGGGCCAAUACUGACGCUCAUUCA